AGGAGAAAGAAAUCAAGCACCCCAAUGCCCACCCUUGCCAGGAGGGGGAUACAACGCAGGGGCCCCCAGAAUCUGGGGAGAGAGACGGCGAGCAGUUGUGGGGCAUAGUAAGGCGAAUGAGGGACAUGCCAGAGAGGGGAGUGGGGGGGCACUGGGGGGCAGGGCGGAGGAGUGGGGGAGCACUUGGGAAGGAUGGGGAAAGGAGUGGGCUGUAAGAAAUGGGAUGGGGGAGCACGAGGGGGAGCAGAGGGGAGGAGCAAGGUAUGGUGAACAGGUGGGAUAACACUGGGGCAGGUGGGAUGUAGGGGUUGUCCUGGGGGGCAGGAGCGGGCAGCAGGGUGGUAGUGGGGGCAGGCACUGGAGGAGCAGGGUGUGGUAAACAGAUGGGGUAACACUGGGGCAGGUGGGAUGUAAGGGUUGUUCUAGGGGGCAGGAGCGGGCAGUAGGGUGGUAGUGUGGGCAGGCACUGGAGGAGCAGGGUGUGGUGAACAGAUGGGGUAACACUGGGGCAGGUGGGAUGUAGGGGUUGUCCUGGGGGGCAGGAGCGGGCAGCAGGGUGGUAAUGGGGGCAGGCACUGGAGGAGCAGGGUGUGGUGAACAGAUGGGGUAACACUGGGGCAGGUGGGAUGUAGGGGUUGUCCUGGGGGGCAGGAGCGGGCAGCAGGGUGGUAGUGGGGGCAGGCACUGGAGGAGCAGGGUGUAGUGAACAGAUGGGGUAACAUUGGGGCGGGUGGGAUGUAGGGGUUGUCCUGGGGGGCAGGAGCGGGCAGCAGGGUGGUAGUGGGGGCAGGCACUGGAGGAGCAGGGUGUGGUGAACAGAUGGGGUAACACUGGGGCAGGUGGGAUGUAGGGGUUGUCCUGGGGGGCAGGAGCGGGCAGCAGGGUGGUAGUGGGGGUAGGCACUGGAGGAGCAGGGUGUGGUGAACAGAUGGGGUAACACUGGGGCAGGUGGGAUGUAGGGGUUGUCCUGGGGGGCAGGAGCAGGCAGCAGGGUGGUAGUGGGGGCAGGCACUGGAGGAGCAGGGUGUGGUGAACAGAUGGGGUAACACUGGGGCAGGUGGGAUGUAGGGGUUGUCCUGGGGGGCAGGAGCGGGCAGUAGGGUGGUAGUGGGGGCAGGCACUGGUGGAGCAGGGU